AACGCAGGUGGUUUGGUAAGUCAGGGGCGAAAGUCCACAGCUUAACUGUGGCACUGCCUUUGAUACUACCUUUCUUGAGUGCAUGAGGGGGAAGCGGAAUUCCGAGUGUAGAGGUGAAAUUCGUAGAUAUUCGGAGGAACACCGGUGGCGAAGGCGGCUUCCUGGCAUGUAACUGACACUCAUGUUCGAAAGCGUGGGGAGCAAACAGGAUUAGAUACCCUGGUAGUCCACGCCCUAAACGAUGGGCACUAGGUGUGGGAGGUAUCGACCCCUUCCGUGCCGCAGCUAACGCAUUAAGUGCCCCGCCUGGGGAGUACGGCCGCAAGGUUGAA
rnacentral:rRNA from 1 species